rnacentral:lncRNA from 1 species
GGGCCCCCAAUUUCUUCUCCUCCAUUACCCCACAGACCUCUCAUCCCGUUCUGUUUCCCCCCCUCUUUUUCUCUCCUAUUCGCCCCCACCCCUCUCUCGACAACAGACCCUUCCUCCUCCUCCCACCACUUAUGGCUUAACUCGAACAUCUAAUUAUUUUUGGAUUUGCUUUUCCUUAUUUGUAAGCUACAAAAACACCCAAGCAAGAUCUCACCCCAACCAUACUUUUAGGGAAAGGGAUGGCAGUGGAUCCAAAGACCUUUGGUUGAUGGACCAUUUGAGCGAAUAAUUUAGUUGAAGAACCAAAAUACAAAUCGGAUGUAAAUUGAGGACCAUUUGAGGUAUAACCCAUAUAAUAUGUAUAAUAGUUCUUUGUUUCGAUUUGGUAUUUUGUAUGGAUGUGGUAGGUAGGCUGUGCAUGUGGUAGGAAUCAAGAUUUCUAUUGGAAUGAAUAUUGAAUACUCAC